ACGAAUGAUCAUCCUUGAUCUUCCUACCCUCAAACCACUGUGGAACACAACACGUGCUUCGGCGCCCUCGGCGCCGUCCUUAUGCUCCAACCAUGUCUUUUUUGUCUGAAGAAUCAAAAACAUCA
rnacentral:misc_RNA from 1 species